AUUGAACGCUGGCGGCGUGCUUAACACAUGCAAGUCGAUCGGUAACGCGGGGGCAACCCUGGCGACGAGAGGCGGACGUGUGAGGAACGCUUGGGAAUCUGCCUAUCAGCGGGGGACAACACGGGGAAACUCGUGCUAAUACCGCAUACGCUCUACGGAGGAAAGCCGGGGACCGCAAGGCCUGGCACUGAUAGAUGAGCCCAAGCCGGAUUAGCUAGUUGGCGGGGUAACGGCCCACCAAGGCGACGAUCCGUAGCUGGUCUGAGAGGACGAUCAGCCACACUGGACUGAGACACGGCCCAGACUCCUACGGGAGGCAGCAGUGGGGAAUAUUGGACAAUGGGGGAAACCCUGAUCCAGCGACGCCGCGUGGGUGAAGAAGGCCUGCGGGUUGUAAAGCCCUUUCGGUAGGGACGAAAGCUCUCGACCUAACACGUCGGGAGGUUGACUUAACCUACAAAAGAAGCACCGGCUAACUCUGUGCCAGCAGCCGCGGUAACAC
rnacentral:rRNA from 1 species